UGCAUAUUAAUUAGAACCGGUUAUACAAAUUCAUAUAUUUUAUCGGUGUCAAUAUAUUAUGCCAAAUGAAACGCCACGUUUUACUUGUCUUUGGGUUGUAAAGAAGCAUUAAAAAUUCUACUACAACCUGAAGAUUUCUAAUGCGGCGACACCA
rnacentral:snoRNA from 1 species